rnacentral:lncRNA from 1 species
AACCACUCGAUCUAAUACAUAGCAAUGUUUGUGACUUAAUGUUUGUUCAAACCAGAGGAAGGAAUAAAUAUUUUAUUACCUUCAUUAAUGAUAGCACAAAAUAUUGUUAUGUAUAUUUGCUUCAGAGCAAAAACGAAGUUAUAGAGAAAUUUAUUCUCUAUAAACAGGAAGUUGAAACCUAACUUAAUAACUAAGAUGGUAAGAAGUGAUUGUGGUGGUAAAUAUGUUGAACCAUUUAGUGAAUACUGUGCACAACAUGGUAUUAUUCAUGAAGUGACACCACCAUACACUUCUCAAUCAAAUGGAAUAACCGAGCGAAAAAAUCAGACUCUAAAGGAAAUGAUGAACGCAUUACUAGGAAGCUCUGGGUUAUCACAGAACAUGUGGGGGGAAGCUAUUCUAUGAGCUAAUUACCUUUUAAAUAAGGUUCCCUACAAGAAAAUGGACAAUACACCAUAUGAGUUAUGGAAAGGUAGAAAACCUUCCUACAACUACUUGAAACUGUGGGGGUGUCUUGCAAAGGUAAUGGCUCCAUUACCAAAGUAAAUGAAAAUAGGUCUUAAAACGGUGGAUGUAUUUUCAUAGGCUAUGUAGAUCAUAGAAAUACAUAUAGGUUUUUUGUGUAUGAAUCAAAGAAUCCUGACAUUCACAAGAAUAUUAUAUUGGAAUCAAUGAAUUCUUUAUUCUUUAAAAAUAUCUUCCCUUAUAAAGCUAGGGAAGUUUAUUCAAGUUCAACAAAAUGAACUUCAGAGACUAUAGAAGAAAAUAGUCAAGACGAGGUUAAAACUAUGAUAGAGCCAAGAGUAAACGAGUAACACUGCAAAAAUCUUUUGGAUCAGAUUUUCUAACCUUUAUGCUAGAUGCUAAACCUCAAACAUGUGAUGAUGCUAUACGGUCAUCUAAAAGCACUUCAUGGAAAGAUGCUAUUAAAAGUGAAAUUGACUCCAUCAUGUAAAAUCAUACAUGAGAAUUAGUGGAUCUUACUCUAGGAAUUAAACCAUUAAAUUCUAAGUGGAUUUUUAAAUGAAAAAUGAAAGCAGAUGAAACAAUUAACAAGUACAAGGUCAGAUUGGUUAUAAAAGGUUAUAGAUAAAAAAGAAGGCCUACUUUGAUACUUUUUCUCCAAUAUCCAGGAUAACUUCUAUAAGGAUGAUACUUGCAAUUGUCGCCUUAUAGAAUCUAGAAGUACAUCAAAUGGAUGUUAAAACAACUUUCCUAAAUGGAGAUCUUGAUGAAGAAAUUUACAUAGAACAACCUGAGGGUCAUGUAAUUCUAAGACAAGAAAGGAAAGUUUGUAAAUUGGUGAAGUCUUUAUAUGGACUUAAGCAAGCACUAAAACAAUGGCAUUAAAACUGUUCGACAAUGCCAUGAUGACAAAUGGCUUUAAGAUUAAUGAAUGUGAAAAUUGUGUGUAUGUCAAAACUACCGAUAUUGGAUAUAUAAUCCUAUGCUUAUAUAUUGAUGACAUAGUCAUUGUUGGGAGUAACAAUGAAAUGGUAAAACGUGCCACAGACAUGUUAAAUUCAACGUUUGACAUGAAAGAUAUGGGACUAGCAAAUGUGAUUUUAGCAUCCAAAUUAAGAGGUCAUAUGAAGGUCUGAUAUUGACUUAGCCACACUAUGUGGACAAGAUUCUUGGGAAAUUUAGCAAGGAUGAUUCCGGUAUAGCCAAAACUCCAAUAGAUACAAGCCAACAUUUGUCCAAAAAUAAAGGUGAAAGUGUUGACCAAGUGGAAUAUGCAGGGGUCAUAGGCAGUCUAAUGUACCUUAUGAGUUGUACUAGACCAGAUAUUGCUUUCACUGUGAGCAGUUUAAGCAUAUUCACAAGCAAUCCAGGGGAAAACCAAUGGAAAGUAAUUGUGAGGAUACUGAGAUAUCUUAGAUAUACUCGGGACUAUGGAUUGCAUUAUUCCAAAAAUCCUAUUGUUUUAGAAGGAUUCUCCUGUGCCAGUUGGAUAUCUGAUAUUCAAGAUACCAAAGGCACAAGUGGAUAUGUUUUUACAUUAGGAGGAGGAGCUAUGUCAUGGAAAUCCCCAAGACAAACGAUUAUAACCAGAUCCAUAAUAGAAUCUGAGUUUGUAGCUCUAGACAAAUCUGGAGAAAAGGCUAAAUGGCUUCGAAACUUCUUGGAAGAUAUUCCUGACUGGCCAAAGCCUGUGCCCACAAUAUGUAUAUAUUGUAACAAUCAAGCAACAAUUGGUAGAGCACAAAAUGUAAUAUAUAAUGGUAAGUCAAGACAUAUGCGUCGUUGACACAAUACUUGUAGACAACUGAUCUCAAAUGGAGUUAUCUCUAUUGAUUUUGUAAAAUCAAAAGAUAACAUUGUGGAUCCGCUAACUAAAUGCUUAAAUCGAGAUCAGGUUAAUAAAACAUCGAAAGGAAUAGGACUAAAGCCCAUGGAAAUUAAAGGCGCUAUGUAAAGGAAAACCCAACCUAGUUGACUGGAGAUCCCAAAAUCUAAGUUCAAAUGGACAACCUAAUUGCAUAGGCCUUGUGAGGUCACUAUAGGGGUUCUUAUUCCAAGUCCGUUCCUAUGAAAUAAACAGUAAUUUAAAGUGAGAUAGGUUAAGUAAAGCUUUUAAUGACCAUUGUGUGUUUCGGAAAGCCAAGCAACAUAAGUCACCUAUGUUAGAGUGAAGUGGGGCCGCUUCGAGGAGACUAUUGUGCAUAGUUCUCUCAAAAUCUUGCAGAACCAGGAAAUGUUCAUGGUCAUAUAAACAUACCUAUGAGAACGAAGACCUUGCUAGGGAGGUAGUUGUGUAAGGUAUAUCAUUGUUUACACAAACGACAGAACAGUUCAAGGAUAUUGCGUCAACUAGUCAGCUAGUAAAAUAAAUAUACUUUCACAAUGUAAGGUUCAAGGGUUGAUGUCUGCCUAUCAUAUGCAACUAUCAAUCGUAGAAUCUAUCACCACAUCCAGCCAAUGUUUUUCAUUAAACCUAUCAAUUUCAUUCAUGUGGGGUAUUGUUGGAAAAAUAUGAUUUUUUGGAAUCUUUGAGGCAUAUUUUCGAUUGGUAAAUGAGGAGUUUUGAAUCAUAAAAUUAUGAUUUUAUGUUCUACCUCAUGAGACCUUUACAACGGGAUAUCAUAUGCUCAAAAUGGUUGAGUGAUGAAUGAGAAAUUGAUGCUCAAAGUAAGCUACUUGGAAAUUAUGUUGAGAAAAAAUGAAAAAGCAUUAGUCCCACAUUGAUUUGGAAUCAAGUGUGGAACUUUUAUAUAUAUGUAAACCAACUUAGUGGUUAUUGAAUGAGUAAACUAAUGCUCUCCCUCGCGCGCAGGGGGUGCAAAUUCAAACCCAUCGGGGUUGGGAAACACCCGCACGACGUGGGUAACGCGAAAUGUCCGGAUCGAUCAGGCCCUUUUAGGCCUGCGAAUAUUUUAGCCCAAUACGUAUUUAUUUAUUUUUUUGAGCAGAUAUUAUACAGAAUCUGUUUUAAAAGAACAAAUAUCUCAUUUUGAUUUGAUUCCAAUCAAAUUUGAUUUUAUUUUAUUCAAAUUGAUUUAAAGGCUCCCUUAAUGCAGAUUUGUAUCUUUAUUCAUGAAAAUUUCUAAAAUUCCUCCACAUUGAAUGUCUAUAAAAGCCUAAAGAAUAUUGCAGAAUUCUUUAGAGACGCACAACGAAUUUAUUUCACUCUCGAAAAUUCUAUUCAUUUUCUCUCCAAAUUUUUCAAAUGUUUGGUGAUAGAAGAAGGAAAGAUUUAUUUAUUGAUCACUGCAGAAGCACUACUCCCAUGAUCAUUUUGUUGUUGUUUCUUGGGAGACAGACGAUCAACGUUUCUCCAAGUACCAUAGGAGCUGUCGAGUCUAUCUUACGGAAACUGUGAAAACAGGCCUCAACAUCUAGUAAAAUUCGAUUCUCUUAUUCGAUUUCUAAUUUUUCAAGAUCUUGUUUAUUUAAUUAUUUUUUAGAUAUGAUGUUUUAAAUAAAUAUAAAUAUUUAUUUAAUUGAUUUUGUUUAGAUCCGGUGUUUUUACAUAAAUAUAAAUAUUUGUUUAUAUUAUUUGUUCAAAAUCUUGUAUUUAAUAUAAAUAUUUAUAUUUAUAUUUGUUCACUAAGGUGUUUUGUCCAAACUAUAGCUUCUCAAUAAUUGUCAAAUAUUAUAGUGAUAUGCUUUUUCUUUCAAUAAUUCAUAUCUUCAAGAUUAAAAGGUUUACUUUAGUAUUAUUCUAUUUAUUGAGUGUGUAUUAAUGUUUUGUACAGGAAUCCGUUGGAUUUUGGUCUUGUAUAAAUUAGCUGUGGUUGUGGGUAAAUAAAUGUGUGCCGUUCUUCAUUCUCCGAACAUGCUGAAUAUAAUUAUUGGCAUUUCAAGUGUGGCAUAAUAUAAAACAAUGGUUGGCUUCAUCAUAAUCUGUUUGGAGACUAACGGACCACACUUUGACCUCCAAAUUUAGAAAAUAUUUCCAGAGUUGGAAAUUGUAAUUGUAAUACCCUAAUAUUUGUACACCGCAGUGAACAUGGACAAUCAUGUCAUGAUGCAGAACCAGAAAAUGGUGCCAACUCUCCUUCUUCUCCCCCUCUUUCUUCCAAAACUAUAUCCUCGAAAAUGGUGACAUCAAACUUCCUUUCGUUUAUCAAAGGUUCACCCCUCACAUUACAGGGUCCUGUUCGUAUCUCAAGGCAAUCAAACAUGGAAUCCAUAUAUAUGAUUCUUCCCCAAUCCUUGUUGUAGAUUCUUUGGGGAUACAAGCCUUUUUGUUUGUAUUUAAAUACAAAAAAGGGAGAAAGAAAAGUGCCAUCUACAACUGCAUGCUAAUGAUUGCCAAAAUCACUGUUUGUUUUGUUGGAAGGCUUUCAAUCUUGCGGGGUCUUGAAGAGCCUGUUUCAGUAACUUGCCAUUAAUUCUCUCUUACAUUCCAAUCCUAAAAAAUGCUUCCAUCUUUUAGCUGCAACAGUUUAUAAUCAUCAGAAAGGUCUAGUCAGAAUAAUAUUACCUUCUCCUUUUAAACAGUUUUUUUUUUUUAAAUCAUGCCACUACAACUGUAGCUGCGCUCAUGUUAACAAUUAAUUCCUAUAAUCGACAUCAAAAUUAUAUGAAAGAAUUAACACUUGGUUACCGAGUUACCAUAUUUGAAGAUAACGCGAAAGGUAAAAACACAAAAGGCAAGCAUGACCAAGCAAACAAGGUAUGGACAUUGAUUUUUUUGAAUCGGGAAUGACCAAAUGGGACCGUGAAGAGGUGACAAAGGAGAAAUCAGGCAUUCACGGUUUCCAUUGGAUGAAAUGAGAUAAGAUCACUGUGCUUCUUCCACGUGGCAGGUUGCCAAAGAUAAGGCUUUACCAUUCAAGAAAAGUUUCCACCCUCUUUGUGGUCAUUAUGGUUGUAAUGUCAUCUGAUUUAGGAUCCAACGGUCACCCUGUCUCCCAAACCAAUCUCUAAAUGUGGUGAGCUUAGACCAAAUUUUAUGACUAUAUAUAGGGGAUUGCACCAAGGCAGUGACACUAUUAAGGGAUCAGUGAGACUCUUUUGUAUACCUGUAGCAUAUAGUAAUAGUAAGCAGUAAUAGCAAUGGCCUCCUCCAUGAUCUCAUCGGCAACCAUUGCCACCGUGAACCGCUCCUCCCCGGCACAGGCCAACAUGGUGGCCCCCUUCACCGGCCUCAAAUCUGCCUCUGCUUUCCCAGUCACCAGGAAGGCCAACAACGACAUCACUUCUCUUGCAAGCAACGGUGGGAGAGUGCAAUGCAUGCAGGUACUUGGUGAUGCAUAAAUACCACUUAAAUUACCCCAAGUGUUUGAACACAACAAAUUACAUAAAUUGAAUCAAAUAUAUAUCUUGGCUUUUGAGUACAGGUGUGGCCGCCUCUUGGGAAGAAGAAGUUCGAGACUCUCUCAUACCUGCCCGAUCUUACUCCCGUACAGUUGGCUAAGGAAGUAGAUUACCUUCUUCGCUCUAAAUGGAUUCCUUGCUUGGAAUUCGAAUUAGAGGUGUUUUGGAGCUCUAAAUUAUUCCAUUCCUCCUCUUAAUUUUUUUAGUGGGAUAUUUGAGUUGAUUAAGUGUGUUUUAUAUGUAUGUGCAGGAGGGAUUCGUGCACCGUAAGUACUCGAGCUUACCCACGUACUACGAUGGACGCUACUGGACCAUGUGGAAACUGCCCAUGUUCGGGUGCACCGACUCGGCUCAGGUGUUGAAGGAGCUUGAGGAAUGCAAGAAGGAAUACCCCAAUGCAUUCAUUAGAAUCAUUGGGUUCGACAACGUUCGUCAAGUGCAGUGCAUUAGUUUCAUUGCCUACAAGCCUGAAGGCUACUAAGUUGUUUACUUCCCUCCUAGGAAUUCCAUUUGUUUCAAAGUUGUACUUAAAUUAAGCCCCUCAAGCCCCCCCCCCCUUUUUCUUUUUCUUUUUUAGUUGAGUUAUUUGGCUUGGGGUCUCUCUUUGUUUUGUUUUUGGAUUUCCAAUGGAACGGCUGAGAACUAAUGAAUAAAAAGGUAGUUUCUUGCCAUAUUUCAUGAAUCCAGUUCUUCCUCCAUUUUCAGUGCUAAGAUAUUCAUGUUAAGAUAGGAUAAAAAUUAAAAGAAAAAAAGGUGAUUGGGUGGUCUGGCUUUAAAAUAAGAGGAUAAAGAUUUUGUGGACAAGCAACGCUGUGCUGUUGGAGGCUCAUUAUCUUAGUACAUAGGAAUACACCAAAGAAACCAUUUUUAUUAAAUUGUUUUAUUAUGACAUCACAAGUUUCUAUUAUUAAAAUAACAACUUAAAAAGGCUAAAUUCAAAUA